rnacentral:lncRNA from 1 species
CUUCAGAAGAACCUGACUGUACAACUUGCACAUCUGAAGAGGUAGCCAAGAAAAUAGAGAAAAGAAUGGGAAGUGGAUCUACCCACAUCCUCUCCCAUCCCCUCCAGAAAGAAAUGCAGCAUCUCUUUCUCAUUGUUUAAGAAGAAAAGGGGGAUCUCGGAGACAAAGCCAAUGAAGAAUAAAUGAGUGCUCUGCCAGUUCAAAGUCAAUGUGAAGAUUGGAUGGGGAAGCGUGCGGAGCUCAGAAGGACUGCUGAUGAGGUCUGACGGGGCAGCGCCACUUCAUUAAUGCAUCACAAUGGUGAAGAGCACCUGAAGCAGCAGCAGCAGCAGCAGCAGCAGUCACCUACCUAGGCUGCAGCUAUCAGCAAGGCCAGCCCAGAGAAAGAAAGGCAACAAUAGACCAACAAAGAUGCCAUAGGCCACGCCUUCCUGCUUUAUCCUCCUCCUGUAUCCCUUCAUUCUUCUUCUCCUCUUUCCUCCCCUCCCAAACUCCUUCCUUCCCUCAUUCCUCCACUUUCAUCUCUUUGCUAUUUCUAGAAAGAAUCUUUUGUCUUGCUAGGCAGAGCAUUUAUAACAAAGGAAAGACAGGAGGUGUAGAUGAUGAAGCAGAGUAGAGCACUUUUAACUGCAAGAGUGUUAGGAUAUGAACACUGCUGUUAGGAUAGAAAAGAGAAAAUCCUCAGAGUAUGUAUGCUGGAUUGUUUAGAGGGGAAAAGUCUUUCUAUGGAAAUCACCUAUAAAACAGUUCAGAAAUGGAAAUAAAGCUAUU